AAGUUAGUGUCACGUCAAGAAAGAGCUAAACACAAAAGAAUUCCAUGAAAAGGAAUCGACUUUAAAGGGAAAAAACCAUUAUUUGUGUUGUUUGAUAAUUGAUAUGAUCGAUCACUAGAUUUUUUGUAAGCUGUUGAAGAGGCUGAGAAUGUGGAUAGAGACACACGAGACAGAGGGAGGGAGGGAGUGGCGGGGCUAUAAUUAAGGCACGAGGAUA
rnacentral:misc_RNA from 1 species